rnacentral:lncRNA from 1 species
UAAAUCUUGGACACUCAAACUUAAUAUAGCAGAACCUCAACAUUUUUUUUCUUAUGCUUAUGCACCUUCCGAAACAACACAUCAACAACAUGGAAAUGAGGACCCAUUCAUGAAUAGGACACAAUAAUUUUCAAACCUAAACUCACCACAACACUACUUAUCACAACAUAAGAAAAAGCAAAACCACACUGAACUGAAAUGCAGCAAAGCAAACAAACUGAACAACACAACUUAAAAAAAGAAGCAAAUUAAAACAAAC